rnacentral:rRNA from 1 species
AACUUUUAACAACGGAUCUCUUGGUUCUGGCAUCGAUGAAGAACGCAGCGAAAUGCGAUAAGUAAUGUGAAUUGCAGAAUUCAGUGAAUCAUGGAAUCUUUGAACGCACAUUGCGCCCGCCAGCAUUCUGGCGGGCAUGCCUGUUCGAGCGUCAUUUCA